UACUUGUUUUCAAGACAUGUAUGCAAAAACUGCAGUUUGAAUACUCUGUACUGAAAAACCAGCUUGAAUAUUUGUUCAGGCUGGAGCAACAGAUCCGAGCUGCCCGUGUGUAGUCUUGAUUUUUGAGUCAUCCCAUGAAGGCAGAAACAAGAAAUGAGGGAGUUGAUGUUACAGACUAUUUAUACGAACUUUUAUAGUGUUCAAAUUAUAUCCUAAUAGAAUAUCAAGACUUGCUGAAGGAUUCCUCAAGAGUUAUGUCUAAGGCUUGUAGGAGAGGGAAAUGCUAAUGUGAAUAAAUAGUUCUACCUGCUUUUUGCGAAACAUA